rnacentral:lncRNA from 1 species
GAAAGAAGAGUUUUCACUCUUUGGGAACACCAAAUUGAACAACUAUGAAGAAAAUCAACUUCAUAAGAACCUAUGAUCAGCAGGAUAAUAAAAUCACCAUCAUGAAGAAGCCGUCUCAUGAGAAAACCCACUAUGUGAACUCCCAACACUGCUGAAGAGUCACCACCUCUAGUUUGUCAGAUAAGCUCUUCAGAUGGCCAGUUGUCCCCUUCAGGAUCCUGGGAUGGGACCAUGUACGUCUAGCAAUAUAAAACUGGUACUGGCAUUACCAGCAGGUGCCCUUCUGAAAACCACUGGAAUGUCUCUGGCUCCUAAAAUAAGAUAAUUAGGUAGUAGAGUGCCCUGGGAUGUGGAAGCUUACCUUUCAGAACUAGACUUGGGUUCAUUCUCACCUGACUGCCUCAGCCACCUAGGAAACAUGACCCAGGUGACCAUUAUCUCAGAGGCUUCUGUCGGGCCUCUGCAGGAAUAAAUGCAGGCUAUUCUCUAGGCAAUCAAUGAGAAUAAGAGCCUCUAUACCUUUAUUGAAAGAGACAUUAACAACUGCUACUGGUUUAGUGAAAUGCAGGGUUCAAGGAAGGAGUCGAGGACCCAAUUGAAGAAAUAACAAGCAGUCGUGCCAGGAAUACAUCCCAAACCACAACCCUGUCUUGUACAUGGACACUCAGACAGUUUGCUUGCUCUAGGAGGUAGCAGAACUUAUCUGGCCACAG